rnacentral:rRNA from 1 species
UACAGAGGGUGCGAGCGUUGUCCGGAAUCACUGGGCGUAAAGGGCGCGUAGGCGGCCCGAUACGUAGGGGGUGAAAUCUUGCGGCUUAACCGCAAGGCUGCCUUCUAAACUGUCGGGCUGGAGCACGGUAGAGGCAGAUGGAAUUCCCGGUGUAGCGGUGGAAUGCGUAGAGAUCGGGAAGAACACCAGUGGCGAAGGCGGUCUGCUGGGCCGUUGCUGACGCUGAGGCGCGACAGCGUGGGGAGCAAACAGG